rnacentral:rRNA from 1 species
UACGUAGGGUGCAAGCGUUGUCCGGAAUUAUUGGGCGUAAAGAGCUCGUAGGCGGUCUGUCGCGUCUGCUGUGAAAACUCAGGGCUUAACCCUGAGCUUGCAGUGGGUACGGGCAGACUAGAGUGCGGUAGGGGAGAGUGGAAUUCCAGGUGUAGCGGUGAAAUGCGCAGAUAUCAGGAAGAACACCCGUGGCGAAAGCGGCUCUCUGGAACGGUACUGACGCUGAGGCACGAAAGCGUGGGGAGCAAACAGG